rnacentral:rRNA from 1 species
UAGUGAGUUUGAUCCUGGCUCAGGAUGAACGCUAGCGGCAGGCCUAAUACAUGCAAGUCGAACGGACCGCAAGGUCAGUGGCGAACGGGUGCGUAACGCGUAAGGAACCUGCCCCUCACUGGGGGAUAGCUUUGCGAAAGCGAAGGUAAACCCGCAUGGUUCAAUAGAUUCGCCUGGGUUUAUUGAUAAACAUUUAUGGGUGGGAGAGGGUCUUGCGUCUGAUUAGUUAGUUGGCGGGGUUAACGGCCUACCAAGGCGAUGAUCAGUAGGGGUUCUAGAGAGGAACGGCCCCCACAUGGACACUGAGACACGGGUCCAACUCCUAC